CUUAAAGGAAUUGACGGGACCCCGCACAAGCGGUGGAUCAUGUUGUUUAAUUCGACGAUACGCGAAGAACCUUACCAGGUCUUGACAUCCCCUGCAAAGCUAUGGAGACAUAGUGGAGGUUAUCAGGGAGACAGGUGGUGCAUGGUUGUCGUCAGCUCGUGUCGUGAGAUGUUGGGUUAAGUCCCGCAACGAGCGCAACCCUUAUUGCUAGUUACCAUCAUUAAGUUGGGGACUCUAGCGAGACUGCCAGUGAUAAACUGGAGGAAGGUGGGGAUGACGUCAAAUCAUCAUGCCCCUUAUGACCUGGGCUACAAACGUGAUACAAUGGCUGAAACAAAGGGCAGCGAAGGAGCGAUCUGGAGCGAAACCCAAAAAGCAGUCUCAGUUCGGAUUGAAGUCUGCAACUCGACUUCAUGAAGUCGGAAUCGCUAGUAAUCGCGGAUCAGAACGCCGCGGUGAAUACGUUCUCGGGGUUU
rnacentral:rRNA from 1 species